GUGUUUGUUUGAUCUUAUAGGUUUCUUCAUAUUCCGACUUCCUAUUUUGGGUGUUACAAUCAAAAUAUCAGUAUGGCAUAAGUAUGGAACAAAUGAGACUUUUGCGUCAAGCUGCUGAUAUUAAGGUGUUAUAGCGUUUGUUUGGUAGGCUUUGUAGCCACUUAUGUUUGCAUUUUGUCCAAAACUCAUGAAGACCGAUGGUAUACCUGUAAAGUUCAGUUUUAGGGAUUAAAGGAUCAUCUUUGGCUUAGUUAUGGAAAACAAUGAGUUGUCAGUGUUUUGCUACUGAUAAGGUUUGCAGUUUUGCCAUCCAGUCUAAGUUACUGAUACCAGGAUCUUCACAGGAAUAGUCUGCAUACCAUAGCAGUGCAACCCUGGAGCCAAUUCAGAUCAUAGGGAGCAGUAGAGGUCUGAAGGUGUUGCAUUGCAGGGUAUGGGCAAUUUUGAAAUUUCAAAAAGGCAUGAUUGCAGCCUAUUCAUUAAUUUUCGGUUUUGAGCUAUGAGAAGAUUACUUCUUAUUUUUUAGCUAUAACAGUUUUCAGUGUUCUAUCUUUCUAGUCUUCUAUAUUAAAUAGAAUACAAGUAAAGCAAUUUAUUCUGAUCAGUCAACAGUGAAUCAGGAUGUUGGUUAAUGCCAGGGAUUCACUUGCUGCUAAACUGUUAACAACUGAAACUUGCCUACCUAGUGAUGGAACUAUCAAUCACUCCAGGACAGAGAGAAAGAAGUACAUAGCCGUGGUUCGCCCAAUAGGCCUCCGUGUGGUACCUGCCCAUAAGGAGGCUGACAUGGGCGUAGGGUGCUUUUUGGUUCACUGUUGAGAGGACUGUCAUGGAAGCUCAGUAUGGCUUGAACAGGGAGGAGGAAGCAGUUAAUAGCCUGAUUGUAGAGGCCAUAUGUGAAUGUGACAGGGAAGUUGCCAAAGUUAUUAUGUCUUGGACUCCUGAAUCAGGCCAAGACCGAAGCUGCCAAGAAGGAUAGCUGAUGAGUGUGUGGCGCAUCGUGGGGAUGGAAAGAUCACGAGUGCAGAGACAUGCUGUUGGACAUGGACAAUCCUACUGCGCGCGCUAUACGGCGAUGUAACAUGGAAUGGAGGGUGCCUGCCUGCCUGCCUGUUGGUGAAAUAAAUGGUCAGCUUCUUCUUCUCGACAGAGGAAUGCUGCUCGCCCGGCUUGCUUGAAGACCUGGCCUUCAUUUGUAUUCCAGAGAUGCUACUCUGCACGCCUGCUUACUGGAGCACGCACCAUUGAUCAGGAACCAGACUGCAGCAUCUUCUGAAGAAUUCGACGCUUGUUGUCAUGCUAUUAACUGAAGAAAUCGACACCCAGCGGUUGGCGCCAAGAGAGGAGAUGAGCACCAUUUACUGUCGAUCGCCUCUGGGAAGAUGACCCAGGUGGUAGUGGUGUAUGGAAUGGGUGCAGAAGCAGAGCCAUCCCAUAAUUUCGCCAUCAGGCCUUCAUCAUGCACUUGUCGAACCUGUGAAAUUUCUCUUUUGAAGUGUACAUUCAUUCAUAAAAAAGCAAGGAGAAGAUGAUCUGUGGUCGGUAACCACAUGCUAUUAGACAAUUCUGUGUAUAUUAGACAGUUGGCGCACCUUUCCAUCUGCUUACAGUUAC
rnacentral:rRNA from 1 species